rnacentral:rRNA from 1 species
CAGCCGCCGCGGUAAUACGUAGGGUGCGAGCGUUAAUCGGAAUUACUGGGCGUAAAGCGUGCGCAGGCGGUUGUGUAAGACAGGUGUGAAAUCCCCGGGCUUAACCUGGGAACUGCGCUUGUGACUGCACAGCUAGAGUAUGGCAGAGGGGGGUGGAAUUCCACGUGUAGCAGUGAAAUGCGUAGAGAUGUGGAGGAACACCGAUGGCGAAGGCAGCCCCCUGGGCCAAUACUGACGCUCAUGCACGAAAGCGUGGGGAACAAACAGGAUUAGAUACCCCAGUAGUCCCUGUCUCUUAUAC